AUUGAACGCUGGCGGCAGGCCUAACACAUGCAAGUCGCACGAGUGGCGGACGGGUGAGUAAUGUCUGGGAAACUGCCUGAUGGAGGGGGAUAACUACUGGAAACGGUAGCUAAUACCGCAUACCCACGGAUGUGCCCAGAUGGGAGUAGGUGGUAGGUGGGGUAAAGGGUCACCUAGGCGACGAACCCUAGCUGGUCUGAGAGGAUGACCAGCCACACUGGAACUGCGACACGGUCCAGACUCCUACGGGCGGCAGCAGUGGGUAAUAUUGCACAAGGGGCGCAAGCCUGAUUCAGCCAUGCCGCGUGUAUGAAUAAGGCCUACGGGUUGUAAAGUACUUUCAGCGGGGAGGCGUUACCCGCAGAAGAAGCACCGGCUAACUCCGUGCCAGCAGCCGCGGUAAUAC
rnacentral:rRNA from 1 species